rnacentral:rRNA from 1 species
UACGUAGGGCGCAAGCGUUGUCCGGAAUUAUUGGGCGUAAAGAGCUCGUAGGCGGCCAGUUGCGUCUGCUGUGAAAUCCCGGGGCUCAACCCCGGGCGUGCAGUGGAUACGGGCUGGCUAGAGGCAGGCAGGGGGAGAACGGAAUUCCCGGUGUAGCGGUGAAAUGCGCAGAUAUCGGGAGGAACACCGGUGGCGAAGGCGGUUCUCUGGGCCUGUACUGACGCUGAGGAGCGAAAGCGUGGGGAGCGAACAGG